GACGUAGGGUCCAAGCGUUGUCCGGAUUUACUGGGCGUAAAGAGCGCGUAGGCGGCUCGUUAAGUGUGAAGUGAAAUCUCUAGGGCUCAACCCAGAAACUGCUUUACAUACUGGCGAGCUGGAGUGAUGCAGAGGUUUGUGGAAUUCCUGGUGUAACGGUGAAAUGUGUUGAUAUCAGGAGGAACACCCAUGGCGAAGGCGGCUCACUGGCCCGGUACUGACGCUGAGGUGCGAAAGCGUGGGGAGCAAACAGG
rnacentral:rRNA from 1 species